UUUUUAAUUAUUUUUUGCUUUUAAAAUUUAUAGUAAUUCCAUUUUUCAUCCAAAAUAUCCCAAAAUAAUUUCUAAAAUUCUCUUUUAUUUUUCUUCAUCUGAUUUUUAUUUUUCACAUUUUAUUUCACUAAUUUUCUAUUUUUCAUGAAUUUUCUAUUUUCUUAUUUGUUUUAAUUGGUUUAAAAAUACUUUUCUGCAUUUGUAAAU
rnacentral:lncRNA from 1 species